AUAAAUUAUUUUGUUUCUUUAUUCCCUAGAAUAAGAAUUUGUAUAAGAAUUUGUUGCAAUAAAUUUUACUGGUACACUAUCCAGCUUUAACAUAUGUAGUUUUAUUAUUUUAAUGUGAAAUAUAAUGAUCCUAAUUAUAUCAUUCAUCCACAAAAUAGAUUAUUUGGAAUAUGUUACCAUUUAGCACAUUUUUUCACACACAUGUACAAAAAACACUCAUAACUUUUUGGUAAGUAACAUCUGAAAAUCAUCUUGCUAACUGUUAGUAGCAUAACAAAGCGAUGUGUUUUAGAGCUUAUAUGUAGCACAUGGGCAUUCAAUGAAAAAUGUAAAACAUGCUUUGCCUUUAGGACUAUGCAUGGUGAGUAUUAUGUUGGUGCCUAAAGCAUUUCAUGUGGUAGAAUGUAUAUAAACCUUGGAAUCAUUGUAAACCCCUGUUUUAAUAAAGGAAGCACAUCAAUGGGGUAAAGAGUUUAUUGCAAAAUAUUUUGCCAUACAAUCAAUUAUGCAGGAUACUGCCUGCAUACUUUGCUCUCCAAAUGUGCGAAGUUAGAAAAAUUGUUAUGAUGUUACUAUUUAAACAUAUUGAAAAUUUAAAAUAAACCUCAGAAUAUCUUUUUAUAUAUUCUUAAGAAUACUUCGAUCCUGGGUAUAUCAAUCAGUGGGUAAGAUCACUUGCUCUAAAAGCACACUGGCCUGAGUUCUGAUUGCUCACACCCAUUUAAACCUUAGCAUGUAAGGUCACACAUAACCUUGGCAUUUCAGGAAACAGAGCUGGGAAAUAGCACAGGAUCACCGAGAAACUCUUUCAAAGGGAAAAGGCAGAGAAAAAUAGGAAAUUUGACAUAUUCUACCUUUCAUAUGCACACACACACACACACACACACACACACACACACACACAUCUCAAAUGUCAACCUAAGAUUCAUUACUGUG
rnacentral:lncRNA from 1 species